GCUAGUGUGGCAGAGACAGGUAAUUGCAAAAGUCCUAAGAUCUUUCUACCGGAGGUUCAACUCCUUCCAUUAGCU
rnacentral:tRNA from 1 species